CAGUAAAAAUCUUCCCUUUUAGGGGUUUUAAAGUGAUGUUAAAUAGUGAACAACAUUCAUUGAUUGUUUUAUGACCAAACUGAGUGUCUAAGUUCAACUAGAAGGAACCCGUUUGAUAUGGUUCACCCACGUCAAACUCCUGAACACACAAAAAGAUCCAAUAAAUCGUAACACAGGAAGACGCAAUACUAUCACAAUAAAACACUUAAAGAGAACUCGCAACCAGGAAGACAUUCAUCUCCAGGACUGACCGGGUAUGACUUCGUGUGCCGGAGUCUGCGGCAUCAUCUGCUGGAACAUUUCCAUGGUGGUGUAGUCACUUGUAAAAGCUACAGUACAUCCCAGGCAGUCGGCCCGCUGCUUCUCCAGAACCGAAUCCGCCUCUAGAACAGCUCAAAGGUACCGAGGAGCGGCAGCACCGUGGCUAACGUGCAAGCGGGGACCAGGGGGUCGUUUUCAAGAAUCUGGAGACUCUCCGUGUCCCAUUCUUCAGCCUUCAGAGUGGAAAGAAUCCCUAGAAGUUCCUGUGGAGAGGACAGUCAAUGGUCAACAUGGAGCAUCCUCUGCGAUGUUGGUGGAUGAAGUGGAUGCUCACCAGCUGACAGGAACCUUCUAUUUUCUGCACAGCGCUGCUGUUUCCAGGGUUUGUAUUGGAGUUCCAAAGGCCGCAACAGUGAUGACAACUGCAAGAACUGUGAUGAAACUUCUGGAAUGGAAAUAUCCUGUUUCAACGAAAGAGGACAGAAACUUGAGAUUGUUGCACUUCUGACUCCUGCGCCGGCGGAGGUGAAACCGGACACUUGGACCUGACGAGGUGGAGGACGUAACCACGCAGAAAUCCUCUGACCUGCUCCUCCGGGAUGGGCGACCACCGCACCUCCGCCGAAUUCAGCGUCACAUUGUGGCUGCUGAUGUUCGCAGGUGCCCCGACCGGAGCUGUCAGGACGCACAGAACCACCGAUGGGUUACAGCGCCGGCCGGCGUGGACCGCAAUGCUAGAACGUGUGGAACUCACAGCCUUCCAGGAGGUGUCCUUAUCGGGUCUGGUGUGCAGGACGAUGCUGUAUCUUCUGUAUGGCUCCAAAGGCUCUGAGUAUCAAAGAGAAAAAUUCACACCAACUGAUCUGUUGAACCCUUGAGACUCUUCAUGUCCAGGUCAGAAGAUCUUCUGGAAAUCCUCCAUUUAUCACUUUUGAGACUAUUGCGAUGAAAACGAAUGUUUUUGAUUUCCAAGAAGGAUUCUGCAUGAUAAAACUACACAGCAUGAGUGUAUCGGCUACAACCCUGACUAUAACUAUAGGUGAAGUUUUUAGGUUUAAUCUUUAAAAAAAACUGCAAAAGAAGCAGUCUAUGAAGUCCAGCGCCAACUAUAUUGUUUAAUGUUUUGCAGUCGUCUUUUAGCUUAAAUUAGCCAAAAAAGUAUGUAUCGUUUUAAGGAACAGGUUACUUUCUGGAGCGAGGCAGGAUCCCUUUAGAAAUUCGAUUUAGGUUUGCGGGACUGUUGAUGCAGGAAUUAUCUGUUGUAAUUUCCCAGCAUUCCUUUGUUUACACUCUCUCCUGCUAGCUUAUAGCCUCUCACAAGCCCAAGCUAACAUUAGCAUAGCAGAAUAAAAAGGCGAACAAUAUCGGAGCUAUCCAGUUUUGAUCCAGAUUCCAGCUCAGAUAAGGAAAAUGAAGACGUUAAUAGAUCCAUUUGUCUAAAAGUGGGGAGAAGGGAGGUUUUGGCUCCGCCCAUGGCAGUUGUUGCAUCACAAGUCUGAGCUUUUUCAAUCUGCCUGUUUUCAUCUGCUUCUGAUCCAUUACAACUUGGUUACAAAAAUACUCAGAAACUAAGUUUAAUCUUAAAUUAUUUUGUAAAUUUCUUCCAUAAUGAGAAAAAUACUACAAGCUUGUAACAUACUCAAAAACUUUACACACAAAUUUACACACAUAGUACUCGGUAAAAGAAACAAAUGUUGGGUAUAGUGAAUGACCCUCCCCCAAGAAUGACAACAUCAAAAAGAAAAAAAAAAAAGAAUG